rnacentral:rRNA from 1 species
UACGAAGGGGGCAAGCGUUGUCCGGAAUCAUUGGGCGUAAAGAGCGUGUAGGCGGCCCGAUAAGUCCGCUGUGAAAGUCCAGGGCUCAACCCUGGAAUGCUGGUGGAUACUGUCGGGCUCGAAUCCGGAAGAGGUGAGUGGAAUUCCUGGUGUAGCGGUGAAAUGCGCAGAUAUCAGGAGGACACCAAUGGCGAAGGCAGCUCACUGGGACGGUAUUGACGCUGAGACGCGAAAGCGUGGGGAGCAAACAGG